UCCCUGGUGGCUCAGACAGUAAAGAAUCUGCUUGGAAUGCAGUAGAUCCAGGUUCAAUCCCUGGAUGGAGAA
rnacentral:tRNA from 1 species